rnacentral:piRNA from 1 species
UAACUCAAGUAUUCCACAAGGCCUCGG